rnacentral:lncRNA from 1 species
GCCACGCCGGCACUUCCCAGCACGUUGCCCCUGGGACCUUGUUUGUGCCGCCCCCUCCCUGUACCAUCGCCAUGAACGCCGUCAAAUCAUCUUAGUGAUAGGUAAAAAAUACACGGGUUGCGAUCUGUAAGAGCACGCUGCUGUGCGUGCAGCGUGCCCCCACCCACUCAGACGCCAACACUUCUAUCCAAAGUUUUAUCCAUCGUGUGUUUGUUCAGGUGUGCUGCAUUCCCGCAACGUUAUUCGGUACAUACGUCUGGCUCCUUCCAAAGGAAGUCGCAGACCGUGUCUAUAAAUCAGGCUCCGAGGUCCUACCUAGUACCUACGCAUACACACAUCAC